rnacentral:lncRNA from 1 species
GGUUUCACCCUUGAGCCAUUUCAGUUGAAGAUUGGGGCUCAGAUUGAUCUAUGCAUUGCCUGAUUCAUCUGUCAGUUGAAAAGUCAACUGUGGUCAACUGUACAUGAUCUGAUGAAUUUGGAGGUGGAAAUGAGUUGGAUACACUUCAUUCAUGUUGGAACAAGUGUUAUUUGACAUCUCAAAGCUUAAGAAUGAAGAAAAU